rnacentral:rRNA from 1 species
UACGAGCGGCCCAAACGUUAUUCGGAAUUACUGGGCUUAAAGAGUUCGUAGGCGGCGCAACAAGUGGGGUGUGAAAGCCCUCGGCUCAACCGAGGAAUUGCGCUCCAAACUGUUGUGCUUGAGGGACCUAGAGGUGAGCGGAACUGAUGGUGGAGCGGUGAAAUGCGUUGAUAUCAUCAGGAACACCGGAGGCGAAGGCGGCUCACUGGGGGUCUUCUGACGCUGAGGAACGAAAGCCAGGGGAGCGAACGGG